AUCCGCCAGAAAAUUACGAGCGAAAGCCUAAAACUCAAAAGACUUGACGGUGUCCCAACCUUCCUAGAGGAGCCUGUUCCAUAAUCGACAACCCACGAUGCACCUAACCACCUUUAGAACAUAUUCAGCCUAUAUACCGCCGUCGUACAGCCUACCUUUUAAAAGAUUACAAGUAGGCUAAAUAGUAAUAUACUAACAAGCCAGGUCAAGGUGUAGCUUAUAUGGUGGAGGAAAUGGGCUACAUUAUUUAUAUUAAAUUAUACGAACUUACAAACCACUGAAAAAGAUAAUGAAGGCGGAUUUAGCAGUAAUUUAAACAAGAAUAUUUAAAUUAA
rnacentral:rRNA from 1 species